AGUCACAGGAAUCUUCUCAACUAACAGUGUGUCAAACUCACGUUGUCAUGGCGGCAUCAUGUGACAUAUUGGGACUUUUCCCCCCUUUGCUAAACCGGGUGUGGGCGUCGCCAGCUCGUGAUGCAUUCAACCCGCGAGCCAUGAGUUUGACAGCCCUGCUCUAUGACAAUGUCCUUAACCUAGUCCUUCAGGUCUUCCAAGAUAGGAUCUUCAGCAGAAUACCUGAACUGUCAGCAACUUCAUAGUUAGUAAGGCAAGUCUUGAUGUAUUCCAGUGCCACACCAUAUAGGACUCAAUAGAUGUUUCUGCCCCCCCACGCAAUAAACUUCAGAUAUUUGAAGAGUAAAGCCUGAAUCACCCAGAUAUGAAAUAACUGUAUCUCCCCAAUAAUCAAGUCAAACAAGAUUUGCAAACAGAUACCUUGAUAAGUAAGUAAAAAUCUUCAUCUCCAAAGAGGGUUUGGGAAGAGAACUGGUCUCCAAAUGUGAUGAAAAUCUUUGUCUGAAAGGACACUGAUCCAAGAACCUCUCUCCUUUAAUUAUUUCAUCAAACUAUUGAUCCAAUGGUUCUACUAUAUAGAUAUAUUACUCUCAGCUUCAAGAGAUGGCUCAAAGUUUGUUGCCCUCCAACUAUCCUCUUCUGGGUUAAGUAUCUUUAUUAAAGAUGAUGGGACUCAA